rnacentral:rRNA from 1 species
ACUCCUACGGGAGGCAGCAGUGGGGAAUAUUGCACAAUGGGCGCAAGCCUGAUGCAGCCAUGCCGCGUGUAUGAAGAAGGCCUUCGGGUUGUAAAGUACUUUCAGCAGUGAGGAAGGUGGAUAUGUUAAUAGCAUAUUCAUUUGACGUUAGCUGCAGAAGAAGCACCGGCUAACUCCGUGCCAGCAGCCGCGGUAAUACGGAGGGUGCGAGCGUUAAUCGGAAUUACUGGGCGUAAAGCGCAUGCAGGUGGUUUGUUAAGUCAGAUGUGAAAGCCCGGGGCUCAACCUCGGAAUUGCAUUUGAAACUGGCAAACUAGAGUACUGUAGAGGGGGGUAGAAUUUCAGGUGUAGCGGUGAAAUGCGUAGAGAUCUGAAGGAAUACCGGUGGCGAAGGCGGCCCCCUGGACAGAUACUGACACUCAGAUGCGAAAGCGUGGGGAGCAAAACAGGAUUAAGAUACCCUGGUAGGCUCU